AUAUAAAAAAUAUAUUAAUACGAGACGAUAUAUUACAGGAAAAAUCUUAAAUAUAACAAUCAAAAUUCAAUGAUGAAUUUUGGGUCGAUAUUGUAUUUUUUUAAGUUUCAAAUUUUAUAAUAUUGAAAUUUAUAAGAAAAUGACAAAAUUAUGUUUAAUUUUACGGGACUGGGUUAUAUGGUAGGACGGGUUUGGGUGGAUAAUAAUUACGAUUUUAGAAUGUUCCACAUCGCUUAAAAAAAUUGGACAAUGGUCAAGAGCCAUACUAUAAAAAGGACCAAAAUGAUUUCGAUUACGAAUGAGCAUGAAACUUGAUUUAUGAGGUGUCCAAAAUUAAAAUGGUUUGUUUACUAGGGUUAUUUAUUUUAAAAAA
rnacentral:sRNA from 1 species